UACGUAGGGGGGCUAGCGUUGUCCGGAAUCAUUGGGCGUAAAGAGCGUGUAGGCGGCCCGGUAAGUCCGCUGUGAAAGUCGGGGGCUCAACCCUCGAAUGCCGGUGGAUACUGUCGGGCUAGAGUGCGGAAGAGGGGAGUGGAAUUCCAGGUGUAGCGGUGAAAUGCGUAGAGAUCUGGAGGAACACCCGUGGCGAAGGCGGCUCCCUGGUCCGAUUCUGACGCUGAGACGCGAAAGCGCGGGGAGCGAACGGG
rnacentral:rRNA from 1 species